rnacentral:rRNA from 1 species
GUGCCAGCAGCCGCGGUAAUACGUAGGUCCCGAGCGUUGUCCGGAUUUAUUGGGCGUAAAGCGAGCGCAGGCGGUUAGAUAAGUCUGAAGUUAAAGGCUGUGGCUUAACCAUAGUACGCUUUGGAAACUGUUUAACUUGAGUGCAAGAGGGGAGAGUGGAAUUCCAUGUGUAGCGGUGAAAUGCGUAGAUAUAUGGAGGAACACCGGUGGCGAAAGCGGCUCUCUGGCUUGUAACUGACGCUGAGGCUCGAAAGCGUGGGGAGCAAACAGGAUUA